rnacentral:rRNA from 1 species
GAUGAAUGCUGGCGGCGUGCCUAACACAUGCAAGUCGAGCGGUAACAGGUCUAGUUUACUAGAUGCUGACGAGCGGCGGACGGCUGAGUAACGCGUAGGAACGUGCCCCCAAAGUGAGGAAUAACUGCCCGAAAGGGUGGCUAAUGCCGCAUAUGAUCUUCGGAUUAAAGUCUUCGGACGCUUUGGGAGCGGCCUGCGUU